rnacentral:tRNA from 1 species
GGCGUGGUAGCUCAGCUGGUUAGAGCGCAGGAUUCAUAAUCCUGAGGUCGAGUGUUCAAGUCACUCUCACGCUACAA